ensembl:snRNA U6 U6 spliceosomal RNA
GUACUCACUUUGGCAGCACAUAUACUAAAAAUUGUAAUAAUACACAGAAGAUUAGCAUGGCCCCUGCUCAAGGAUGAUGCAAAAAUUUGUGAAGCAUUCCAUAUAUUU